rnacentral:lncRNA from 1 species
AUCUAUACUGUAAAUAUUAACCUUAACUUCCUUUCUAAUUUAGAAUUCUCUUACUUGCAGAGAAAACUCAACAUCAUAGCCAUAAAAUCUGGACCCUGAGGCAAACAUUUUGAUCAAUGGUCAGCAGAUAAGAGAGGAAAGUAGGAUGAGGAUUUAACUGAAGUGGAUAUUAUCAGUAAAUGGAAUGUUACAGAAAGGUUGACAUCACUUGAUGGAGGACUUGAACUAUGCUUCUUCUUGAAAGGACAAUACGUACAAUGAAUCUGAAAUAAAGUUGAAAAUCAGGACCAGAAUAGAAGAGCAGUUGGAGGAUCUAAAGGAUGACAAUGAGGUGUGAGUACUGAAGU